GACGAACGCUGGCGGCGUGCUUAACACAUGCAAGUCGAACGGAAAGUCCCUGCUUUUGUGGGGUGCUCUAGUUGCGAACGGGUGAGUAACACUUGAGUUACCUGCCCUUGACUUUGGGAUAUCUUCAUGAAACUUGGUCUCAUACCGGCUAGGAGCUCCUGCUUCAUGGUGGGGGUUGGAAAGUUUCGGCGGUUGGGGAUGUACUCGCGGCGUAUCAGCUUGUUGGUGGGGUAGUGGCUUACCAAGGCGUUGACGGGUAGCCGGCCUGAGAGGGUGACCGGCCACAAUGGGAGGGAGGAGAGGCGCAGAAGACUACGGGGGGAAGCAGUGGGGAAUAUUGCAGAAUGGGCGGAGGACUGAUGAAGCAGCGACGCGGGCGGGAUGACGGACGUCGGGGUGUAAACAGCUUUCGCCUGUGACGAAGAGAGAGUGACGGUAAGGGGUAAAGAAGCACGGGCUAACUACG
rnacentral:rRNA from 1 species